GUCAGUAACUCAGCCCUAAAGGGACUGAGCUUGUAAGAAAUUGCAAGCUGUACUGACCAGUCUAAGUCUUAACUGACUACGUUUUUUGAGUCACGACACCCUGGAAUGCGUAGCUAGUUCCCUGCUCUGUC
rnacentral:sRNA from 11 species